rnacentral:rRNA from 1 species
GAUGAACGCUGGCGGCGUGCCUAAUACAUGCAAGUCGAGCGAACAGACGAGGAGCUUGCUCCUCUGACGUUAGCGGCGGACGGGUGAGUAACACGUGGAUAACCUACCUAUAAGACUGAGAUAACUUCGGGAAACCGGAGCUAAUACCGGAUCAUAUAUUGAACCGCAUGGUUCAAUAGUGAAAGACGGUUUUGCUGUCACUUAUAGAUGGAUCCUCGCCGCAUUAGCUAGUUGGUAAGGUAACGGCUUACCAAGGCAACGAUGCGUAGCCGACCUGAGAGGGUGAUCGGCCACACUGGAACUGAGACACGGUCCAGACUCCUACGGGAGGCAGCAGUAGGGAAUCUUGGGCAAUGGGCGAAAGCCUGACGGAGCAACGCCGCGUGAGUGAUGAAGGUCUUCGGAUCGUAAAACUCUGUUAGUAGGGAAGAAGAAAUGUGUAAGUAACUAUGCACGUCUUGACGGUACCUAAUCAGAAAGCCACGGCUAACUACGUG